rnacentral:rRNA from 1 species
GACGAACGCUGGCGGCGUGCCUAAUACAUGCAAGUCGAACGAACCGCGACUAGGUGCUUGCACUUGGUCAAGGUGAGUGGCGAACGGGUGAGUAACACGUGGGUAACCUACCUCAUAGUGGGGGAUAACAGUCGGAAACGACUGCUAAUACCGCAUAGGACAUAGGAUCACAUGAUUCUGUGAGGAAAGGUGGCGCAAGCUAUCGCUAAGAGAUGGACCCGCGGUGCAUUAGCUAGUUGGUAGGGUAAAGGCCUACCAAGGCGAUGAUGCAUAGCCGACCUGAGAGGGUGAUCGGCCACAUUGGGACUGAGACACGGCCCAAACUCCUGCGGGAGGCAGCAGUAGGGAAUCUUCCGCAAAGGACGCAAGUCUGACGGAGCAACGCCGCGUGAGUGAAGAAGGUCUUCGGAUCGUAAAGCUCUGUUGUUAGAGAAGAACAGCGCAUAGAGUAACUGUUAUGCGUGUGACGGUAUCUAACCAGAAAGCCACGGCUAACUACGUG